rnacentral:misc_RNA from 1 species
AUAUGGCUAAAGUGCCCACUCGACCUGACCAAUCAAAAGUGUCGUCGGCCUUCGUUAGUCUGACCUAAACCCACUUUAAAUCGUUAUUCGCGCACUCUCUGCCUACCUUAGGUCAUAUUUUGAGCUUCAUUAUUCUUUUUUUGUUUUUAGUGAGCUAUUCGUUUUUUUUUUUCUUCUUCUCUCCCUUUCUGAAUAAUCUCACAAAUUAAUGCAUUGUUUCUUACGUUUGUUAUUUAUAUCUGGAAAGUACAGGGACGGAAAAGAAAACAUCAACAAAUUCUCACGCACGUUUUGAUUUGAAUUCGUCUGCCGACAAAAUCUGCUGAUUUAUCAUUUUUCGUGUUUCAUUCAUUGUUUCACGUUAGAAAUUAUUUUUUGUUUCUUUGUUAUUGCUUGUUGAUAGUUGAUUUGAUUAUCUAUGUGUUUGCGGUUUCAAAACGAUGUCUCAUAUCGAUAGUUCUCAUCAACAACAAUAUCAAUCGAUCAACAGCAAUACUUCUUUAUGUAACCUUAAAAAUAGUAACACGACUGAUGAUCUCCCUAAACAGUUUGUAUCUUCUCUAAGAAUUCUUUUCGAUAUUCUUGAUGAAAACCACAGUGGUUAUGUUCGAUUAUUGGAUAUUGAAAGCCGAUGGAAGGAAGACGGUGUUAAAGGCCUUCCGCCUGGUGUUGUAGAUGCUCUCAGAAAAGUGACACCACCAAAUGGUUAUUUGAAUUUUGAUAGAUUUGUAGCCGGUCUUAAACUCGUUCUGUGGCGAAACAGACUUGAUGAUUCUCACAAUAAUACUGAUGUUGAGCAAUCAGAUCAAGAUGGGGUUUUCUUGGGUAAGGAAAACAAAUUAAACAAUUAUAAUGAUGAAAAAAAUAUGAAUUUCACAGGGUCACAAGAGCAGUACGGCCACAUAAAUCUUUCGCCAAAUAUUGAUGGUCAGUUUUUCAAUCGGCAUCACAACACUGCGGCGGAUGUCUUUAACAGCAGCUUAACUCCAGCCACUGGUAUAACGAAUGUGCCUGGCCGACUGGGCAGCAGUCAGCACACUACCUUAGGCCAUCAGAACAGUGCGACAAACGUGACAACCAAUGUGCAUAGCAGUGGUCAUCAACACAACACUCAUUAUCAGACAUCAGCUAGUCAUUAUAAUUCAAGCAAUACACAUUACAACACCCCGGUUAAUAGUAACCACGAUACUAGUCGAUAUAACAAUAAUAACAGUCUUCAAUCUAUUGGAACUGGAGUAGGAAACAAUGCUGUAUCUAAUGACAAGUUUACUCACAACCAACGUUUACCUUGUCUUACAAGAUCUGCAGACAGGCCACCCCUUCAAUCACGACAGGUGAGCCACUCACACCUUCAAUAUAAUACUGAUACACAAGAACCUUUUGCAACUGACCAGGCAUCUUUACCCACACAUGCAUCUAAUACACACCAACGUUCCUUGUCUCCACCCCAAGUGCCACCAAGAGACCAAAGCAAAGCCAAUAUUCUUAACGAACUGAAACUCUGGCAGAAACAGCGUAUGAAACAUGUAACUCCAACUGCUGCAGAAUCACAAAAUACAAAUCGUUACACAUCGUCCAAAUGGAAUUCUGGACGAAAUAUAUCUGCAAAUGAAAGCAAAGAUGCAGACAGGAAUAUAUAUGAAAGAGGAGAGACAAAACUGCCAAUGGUUGUGUUUGAAAAUGUAGAAGCAAACAUUGACAAUAUUACAUCUCAACAAAGAAGAAACAUCGAUGAACCCAAACCUCAGAAGUUAGGUGACUCAAAACAUGGCAACCGCAGGUGGGAUGGCCGCCGUCAUACUUUAACAAGUGGAGUUGAUCAUAGCAUGAUUAAACGGAUGCGACAACUGGAAGAAGAAAAAGAGAUUCUGGAACAAGGAAUGGAAAUAGUACAGUCUGCAAAGCGUUGGUAUCAGAAGCAAAUUGCUUCAGUUGAUGAUAAACAGAAAGUUGCUGCUUGGUCAUCAUACAAUGAUUCUUCAUUAGAGGCAAAUCAAGAACGGAUGAAUUUUCAGAAAACCAGGAUAUCUGAAGUCAAUCAACAAUUAAGAGCACUGAUUGAAAGCUCAGAGAAGGGCUUCCCGCUACACAUGAAUCUAGCUGUUAGUAAUAUUGGACAGACAAUUCCAUCAGAGGAAGGUCGUAUGAAGAUGCUGAAAGAACAAAACAGACAACUGACACAGGAGAUUUCAACAAAAUGUGAUAAAAUAACACUGCUUGAGCAAGAAAAAUCUGCCUUGAUUAGAGAACUCUUUGAAUCCCGAUCUCAGAACAAACCCAAUUUGGAUGAUACCACUUUCAUGUGAAAACACAGACAAUUCUACUGAGUUUUUGCUCACCUGUAAUCUCUUCAAAACCUUUAACCAGAAUUUGGAAGUUAAAGGUCCUCUUGGUGUAUUCUAUCUUCACAAUCUCCACAUUGUGUUUUUAUUUAUCUUUAUCUUCAUUGGCAUAAACGAUAGACUGACAGAACUGACAGAGUGAAAUGCCUUAUGGCAUAUUUCUUUAUAGUCUAAAUUGAAGUUAUUUUUAUUGAAAAAUGUUAGCAUGCCAGGCAAAAUGCUUAACAGCAUUUUCGUCUGUCAUCUGUCGUCAAUAAAUUAAGUACCAGUCAAGCACUGGGGUCGAUGUAAUUGACUUAACCCCUUCCCUGAAAUUGCUGGCCUUGUGCCAAAAUUUGAAACCAUUUUUGAAAAAAGUGAUUGGUGGUAGACUCUGUUCAGUAUCAUAUUAAAUUUUUUGAUGUAUGUAUUGUGUUCCGAGUUCAAGGCCACUGAGAACAACUGUAUUGUUUCAUCUUUCCAGAGGGUGGUAUAUUCAGCAAUAUAAAUACUGGUGAAGUACUGUGAUUGAUUCAGUUGACUGCUCCUUUCUUCCAAAUAUCUGUGUCCUUGUGCCUCAAUAAGAAACCAUUAUUAUUUGGCUGAAUCAUUAAAAUCAAUGGUCAAAGUGUAUUGUGGUGUGUUUGUUCUGACUCUUUACAUUUUAAUGGAAGUUCAAAUCCCAUUAAAGGCUACAUUGCCUUUUAUUUGGGGUGGGGGUGAUAAAUAAAGCCCUAAUGUUGAUUUAAUAAACUAAAUUCUCACUCACAAAAAUUUGUGGCCUUGUGCAUAGAUUAAAAAUUAUUAUUAAUUAUUAUCUUUGCAUGAUCAUUAAGGCAUCAGAAAAAUGCCUUGCAACAUUUCUUUCAGCUCUUAAAAUUAAGGUUCAAACCCUUCCAAAGUCAUCUUUACCUUUUCUUAUUUUGGGGGUGGUUGGAUAGGUGAUAAAAAUAAAGUACCACUUAAGAACUGGAUUAAUAUAAUCGACUAGCCUCUCUCCUUCCCUUUCAAAAAAA